AAAAAAAAUCCAGCAUCCAAAAGCAGAUCACUCACCCAAUGGGUAUCUGGGAUGUGUGUAUGCCCAACCAGAGCAUGCAAAGAACAUACUAUUUCCCUUCACAGCUCGGGCAAUGUGGUGCUGGUUUCCUUAGCAGCAUUCACACUGCAAUGGAUAGAGGUGUGAAACAAAGAUGCUCACAUUAUAGACUGCCAACAGCCUCCCGGGGAAAUCCAUGGGACCUGUGGCCUGACCCAUCAGCCCUUUUUCCCAGGCUGGGUGUAACGCUGUGGUAGGAACAGUCCAGAAGCUUCUAAUAAAAGCCCUGCAGCCCUUCUUAUGUUUUGGGUUUAUCAAGCAUAAUCUCAAUCCACAUACCUCAGCCUGCUCUUGGGAAGGAGCAGCUCAGCUGGCUGCUCAUUCUGUGGGGAAAUGGCGGAAUGUAGGGUGCUGGGAGUGAGGCAGACCUGCUGGUGGCCACCUGUACAAGGAUCAGACCCUCUCAGGAUGCUGCCCUGGUGCUUUGAUGCACGGCUCCUGCUGCGGGACACCAGGCGUCUGUGGCUCUCGCCGACUCCCCAGGAAGCAGGGCACUGGCUGUUCUGCUCCUUGCGUUAGCAUGGCAUUAGCAUGGGCUAAUGGAGAUAACAUCUUCCUCCCGCUUCUGCCAGCAGCCCCUCCCUGGAGACCAACGGCUGCACAAACAUUCGCUGCCCACCAGCCCCUGCUGCCUUUGUUAGGCCUGCGCGUGGCUCCUCCUGCGCAGGUGGUGUUUGCUCUCUGCACAGCUCUUGUUUCAGACAAGCUGCCUACAAAAGCUCAGGAGUCGUUGCUAUUUAUUCUCAGCCCUUGCUUGGCUUUUUUGAGAUGACCAGGUGAGCAUGCAGGCGGUUGGUUCUCCCACUUAUUUUCUACUGGAUGGGGACAUCAAAUAUUUGCUUUCAGAAGUAUUUGCAGCAGCUCCUCUGCAAUUAACGGCAUCAACCAAAAUGCUCAGAAAGGGUGUGGGAGAGCUCCUGUGCCCUCACUCUCCUGAGUUUUGCUAUGGUGACCCAGAAAUUCUUGGGCUUUGUUGCUUUGCUACUGAGUGUAUCUGAUGGGCAACACAUUAAAACAUAUGAUGUGCUUCCUGUUGGCAGAACCAUUUUAGACCUUCUAGUUCCAGCCCCAUGCCAGACAGCUGUGCAGCUCUCAGGGAACAGCAUUCAGUUACACUACUACAAAUUCAGAGAAGCUAAUUGAUUCACUUUGGACAUUACUAGUGCAGCAGAACAGAAUUUAGCCCUUGCAUUUCAGGAACUACAAAACCACCGGAGGUUAUCUGCUAAUAAUGAUGUACUUGUGUCCUCUGCCAUCCUAGCUUACAUUGCACCAUCCAGCCAACCAACCUGGGGAAGGGUGUCUUAUAUCCGUCAGGAGGAAACUACAGCUGUGAUCGAGUGUAGAGGCUGUGUUUGAGAUGGGUUCAGGGAAGGGCUUCACUUUACACAGCAAAGGCUGAGCCGAGGCCUUCUCUGCACAAGCCACAUGAGCUGUUGGGUAGCUGGUGUCAGCCACCAAACAAGCUGUGGGUGCCUGAGGCCUUCAGAAGUGGUCUGAAUCCCAGAGAAGUUUUCCUUCCCUCAAAACACAUGGACGUCAUGGCCAUGCUUCAAGAGCAGACUGGAGAUUUUGGAGACAAAAUUCUCCAUUGCUGAGAUGUGUACAGGCCUUUGUGCUCUGAAGGACUCCCAGUGUCUGCAGACGUGGCUGAAGCAGUGGGAGAUGGGCUUUCUUCCAGGCACGAAUCAUUGCUUACUGCUGUGAGAGGUAUUCACAGUCACGGCAACUCAGCAUGAGCUUGCAAAAAGGGAAAAAAAACUACCAAACCCAAGGGAUUGCAUGGUACUGAGCAUUGCACCCAGAGAUCUGGUGGUGACGUGCCACUACCUAGAGGGUGAAACACUCACAGCAACACCAGCACAGCAGAGGACAGGCCAAUACAAGCAGGAAAGCCUGUAGUAGGCUCUGGUCAGGGGAUUCAAGCAAUAGCAGCAUCUUCCCCAGCUCUCACUUCAUUAUCACCAUCAUUUCUCUAUGAAUGAUUGAGCACAGGCAAUGUUUUAAACUCAGUGCCAUUGGUCACUAAUGCAAUCAGACCCAUGUACCAUGCAGGACAGGAGUCGAUGCUAAGUUCCUUUUAUUCUACCUUCUGCCUGGGCAGAGAGCAUGCUUUCGGCUUUAUGCAUGCUGUAGUUUCUCUCUUUUCAUUCUUUUAUUUUUUUCCACCUCUUGUAAAGACUUUGCUAUGUCAAAAUCUGUCAAACAACUCCUUGUGCCAUGUUUUUACAAGAAUCCUACUUGCUGAAUGGUGCCAAACACCCUUUUAAACAAUACUCAGUGAAGUAUUGCGUUGCCUGUGCUCUGCUCUUGCAUGCCAUAUUUAGACAAAAGCUAGGGAAUUCCCUGGCCUAAAUGAGGGCUUGAAUGAGUCCAUUCUUUUCCCACCUCAACUAAAAAUGCAUGUGUUCACAUAAGGCACAGCUUCUACCCAGCUUUAUUUUUAUUUGAUUCCACACUUUAUCUACCUAGAAAUCGGAAGGAAAAAAAAAAAAAAAAAAAAAAGAACAGGAAACGAAUCAAGUGAAGCUGACCGCAGAGACGUGCUCAGUCCUGCUGGGUGCAUUCCCAACGAGACCAAAACCUAGGCAGCAGUAACACAAACACCCAGCCCCACACUGCCACCAGCUAACAAUAGUCAGCUCACAGCCAAAUAACGCUCCUGUUGCUUUGGCCCAGUGCAAACAAACAACAAGGUUAUGUCCUAACACUGAUAAAGACUGUCAGGGGGGGUUCCUGACAAUGCAUGAGCACCCUGUUAGCCACCUGAGUCAUUGGGGUGUCAGAUGUUUCUGGAGCAAAGGAAAAACCCCAAGCAUGUGGGGCAUGGUGCGUAAUGCCCCUGUGAGCAGACAGAGCAGCGAGCUCUGUGAUCCCUGCACACACUGCCCCACACGUUCAUCCAUUCAGACUGGCAAAAGCCAGCGUGCAAGGGCUCUUUACUGACGCUGCGAAAGUCAAUGGGGCUGCAGAUCUUUCUGGAGCGGCUAUUGAAGCUCCACAUUCCAGAGCGCUAGGCUAAUCGCUUUUAGCCAGCCCUCCAACAGCACUCCAGUUGCUGAUGUUUAAACUCUUUGCCAUACUUUUGUCCACAGUGCGUGGGCCCCCAGAUUUUCUGACAUGUGGCUCUUCCUCUUGCUGCCAAGUCUGCUGGGAGAAGAUGUCAGCCUCACAGGACCAAAACAGAUGCCUUCCACACAUUAACUCUGCUGGAAAAGCUUCAGAUAAAGGCCUAUCUUUCCCUUUCCUCAUCCCCAUAAGCUCUAAAAAAUAUCCAUGAUUUCUGCUCCAAGAAAGGAGGUCUGAAUCCUGAAAUUGAGACACUGAGCAUCGUCAAAUACAGUGUAUAUAUAUAGCCUGAAACACAGGAUGAAAUACUCUGAAAAAGAAGGCAGAAUUUGCAUUAGAGCUCUGUUUUUAUAUAUAUGCAUGCAUAUAUAAAAUCCAUUACAGCCAUUUAAGUUGUAUCUGUACUGCUGAUGGCAGUGAUGGGGAGGGACCCUACUGCAGACAGGAUGCUGGCAGGCACCCGCCUUUUAACUGCUGCCAUUUAAUUCCAUUCGGUGUUGCCUGGGACGACAUAAUAAGUGAGACAUCACUCAAGCCUAGACUAGCCUGGUGCUGCUAGUGUUAUUGCCACUGCUGGGAGCACUCUGGGGACAGCAGUAAAGGAAAGAAAUGAUACGGACAGAGCUGCAGUGUUAUAAAAUGCACCCUUAGGAUCAUAUGCUCAAAAGCACUCAGUUCCCAUUUAGGAACCAAAAUGAAAUUGGCAGGGUUUCAGAAGUGCUCAGCAUCUAUCAGCUCCUACUGAGAACAUGCCGAGCUCUUCUCAAAAUUGUUAGAGAAAAACAAUUUGAAGAUAAGAGCCUGCUUGUGGCUUACAAUUAACAUCAUUGUGUGGGUCUUCACGGCAGUUUGGCAGGAGCAAGAAUAGCUGCUUUCACAGAAGAUGUUCUGUAUGAAUUCACAUCUGAAAGUGUAGGGCCAGGUCUAUAAGCAGCCACCCCCACUGCCUGCCUCCUGUAAGAGCUGCACACCCUAAGGAGAAUUUUCCACUUUGUGUUAGAAUGAUGUAUUUUAUAGCACUUGGUAAGAGGGAGGCAGCACCCGAUCACGCUAGGAGCAACCACAUCAGCCGAGACAAGUCCAGUAUGAGUAGGUAACAGCUCAGAACAUAACCCUCUGAGCUGCAGUCAGUGCAACUGUGAAAACAUGGGGGCAAAUAGACUAAUUUGGUCCCAACCUGUAUUAGUUUCUGACUUAUAAUUAGAAGCAAUAGUAUAUGUCUGUCUGACAUAUAUAUGUUUGUCUCUGAUAACUCUAAGUGCUCUUUGUUCCAUGAAUGAGACCGAUGUCUUCUGGCAGUGGGGACAGAAGCAAUAGUUACAGUCUGGGCUGACACCAAUGUGCACCUUCAAGAGACAAAGUUUUGUCAGAUCUCUCCAGUCAAGCAAUUUCAGAGGCCACAAGCAGGCAAAGACCAUAAAUAUUGCAGCAGUCCCACUCACUGUCCUGUAACCACCAAUCUAUUUAAAAGAAAUGCUGUGAACUGAAAUCGUCCUACUGUUGGCAGCUCCCCAAACCUUGAACCAGCUGAACCUUGGUGCCACACACAGACAAAAAUAAUAAUAAUAAAAUAAAUAAAUAAAUAAACAAACACAAGAGUGGUGUCAAGGCUUCAACUCCCCCAUGGAUGCACAAUGAUUCUUGAAGCAGACUACGAACAAGUUCUUUUCAUCAAAAUCCUCCUUUACACAGUGUCCUUCAUCUCAUCUUGAUCCCUGUUCCAGAAACCAUCUUCCAGGUGCCAGGCUCUCCCUACAGAGCUGCCCCGAGCACCCCACUGAUGUUCCUGUAGCAACCAGAUGCGUAUAGCUGCCUCUGCUACACUGUGUAUGUCCCAGACUGAGCUCAGCUCCAUUUCAGAUUCAGGACAUCUCUGAGAACUGGUUGAAACGAGGACUCACUAAAGCUUCCAUCAGAUGCUGACGGGCCUCUUUGUGCCAGGAAAACGGAUGUGUGCAACAACAGCAAAAGUGCCUGGAAGCAUCCCAAAGCCUGAGUGAAAUGAGGGAAUUUUGAGCGGCACCAAACAAAAGGAGCAGUGAUUUAAUCUCCACAGAUGGGGAGGGGGGAGCAGCGUCAGGAAAAGCAGGAGGAUGAGAUUAGCUAGGCAAUAAAAUGAAAAUGAGCAAGAGGUGGAGAAAACUGUGCUGAGAUAAGAGGAGGUGGAUUACAGAGCUGGCAGAUGGAAGGGGAGCAGGCAGCCAAACAGGGAACAAAAAAAAAACAGGUAAUAAAUCCGUAAAAAUCUCAAUCAACAACUUUAAAUACCAUUUCCAACCCAUUUUCUCCAGGGAGCUAAGUGACUGUGGCAGAUGUACGGCCUCCCCUGCGUGCCCCCCUCAGGGUACCCUGGGCCUGCCCUGUGCUGCUGCAGGGCAGGCGACUGCAAGUGACCAGCAAGGUGUAUGUGCUGGGGCCCAAAACCCUUGCACAGCAGCCAGGAUCCUUCCUGGCACAAGGAUAAAGCAGUCAUUUAACACCAAAAGGUGAAAGAAAUCGCUUCUUUCUUGACUGACCAUUUGACUCAGCCUAAUUCAGCAGCAUGAAAGCGACACAUCGUCUCUUGUGUUGGCAAAAAGGGGCAUUUCCUUGAGCCUCGCUGAAGCACAUUAGGCUGGGUAUCUAAGUUCCGGACGAUAAGGCAGCUUUUAUCAAGAAGCUUUCAUUACUGCAGUUAAACUGGCAAUAGGUGAUUGAUAAUAAGCAGACAUUUGACCUCUGUUCAAAAGUCAUUAAGCCCUUGACCACUGAGUUUUCAGAGGAUAAUCUCUAGAAUAUCUUUGGCUGUGUCAUUUUGGAAAGGCCAUGUUGCAGCUUUCCAGAUCUCUGCAUGCCCCACAUGAAUUUCCCAAUCUUCCAUUGCCUCAGGCAUGUCAGUGCCCAGUGGCACUAUCUCCAUCGCAGUCCUCCCUAUCUCAGGAGGUUAUUUAAAAUCAUUUAUUUGGCAUUACAUUUUGGGAGUCUAGGAGAGAAUGAAAAUUAAGUGGGUACUGCAAAAACAAAAAGGGAAAUUAAUGGCCGAAGAUAAGUAAUUACUUUAUGAGUUUGAAACCUCUUUGUGGUAGGGACAGCUUUUUUCUCUGCGGUGGUGGGAUGCCCAGCACCACUGGGUUUGUGCUGCAGAGAAGCGAUAGUGAUGGCUCAUACUUCGUUGCAGAUAUCUGUAUGAAAUCAUAAAUACAUAUUUUGAGCUGGCAAUUUCCCAUCCAAAAGUAGGGCAUGGGCAGAUUAAUCCCAUUGCUGCUGAGCUGGGUCAAAUGAUCUCCAUUUCCAGAGGUACCCCAACUGGGUACCUUUCCCUCCCUUUGCCCCCUUAGCUUGUUUAAUGUCCUCAAGCCAUGGCCACAAAAAACAAAAUUGUACUAUAAAAGGGCAUAGGUCCAACCUUGUAAACAUUGUUUUCAUUUAUCUCUUAAAGGCUCCCAUUAGCUUUCCCUCAUAGUCUGCUACAGAUACGGCAAAAAGAUGCCUGGGACAAUGAUCCUCAUUUUUGGCCUUUAAAAAUGGUAGACUGGAAACUAAAUUUUGUAACAGGCAGAUACAAAGAGCACCAAUUUGAAUUCUUUGGGGGUGGUGAGGAAUAUACGACCUUUCCCCAGCAGAGGACCAGGAGAGCAGAUGAGCUCUAUGCAGGGUGCAGUGUGGGGAGGGCAACGGGAUGGUGGGGAAGGCAGGGAGAGCCUCGGCUCGGGAGCUCUGUCCGAGAGCUUUCCUGAAAAUCGCUGUGACUCCUAGCUAUUGGCAUGUUUUUAGGAAUAAGAAGCAUUUCUACAAUGUUGAGCUGGCUGAAAAAAAAAGAAAAAAAGAAAAAAAAAGAAAAAAAGAAAAAAAAAAGAGUCUAUUUUCUUUUUUUAAGAACAUUUUUUUCCCUUCGGAAAGCACUGUGGUCAGUCAGGAGAUCUUGGACAAACUGUGGGAGUUAAGUGCGUGAAAUUCAAUACUCCGUGUUAUAUACCAGAGGUCAGACUCAGGGUCCCUUCAGAUCUAAAGCAUACGUGCAAUAAACACUUCCCCAAAAAGCCCCUCCAAAACCCCCUAAGCCUUCCAUUCAGCUUCUGGAAAACGCAGCGCAAAGACAGAACAAGACCUGGCAGCAGAAAGUCAGCAAAGAGGACAAAAACAUUUGGAGUUUACAUUCAACUUCAGUUCCUACAGCAUUCAUGCUCCCUGCCUAGCCAAAGCCCGGCAGGGAGGCUCAGUAAACAGCAUCACCCUGACGAAGCCCAGGACCCGGAGCCGACACGCUGGGGGGCUCGUGGAGCAGCCCGGGGCUCCCUGCCCUGCAGGCACUUGCUCCUCAUCUGACCCCAGAAGCUGCUGUAUUUCACAUGCUGUUCCUCCCUCAUUCGAGCUGUGCUGCGAGAUAGCUCAUCCUGCUGGAAACUAUAACUGAAAACAUUGUCUAAAAACAGCUCCUCUUGCUGCGUGCCCAGAGGGGAGGAGCGGUCCCCAACGAGCACAGACAAACGGAGCUCGAAUAAAUAGCUGGGCUGAAAUGGACCCAGGAGGGCAGCCCAGGGCGGCGGGGCCGGGCAGUGAUUUCACACCAAGGCAGGAUCUCGGCUGGAGAAACUGCCUGGCGAUGACUUGCCCGCUUCCAGACCACGAGGCUGCAUUUUCUCUAAGUGCAGUCAGCUGUGCUCGGGUCAGGCACACGGCUGUGUCUUGGCACCAGGUGUUACGAGGAGCUGAUUUCCACCGCAGGAUUAACAGCAGGAUAUAGAGCACAAACUCAUUGCAAAAUUGUGAUAAAAUCAAAGCUCCAUCUGUAUUCAGGCUGGAACUUGGAGCUAGGAAUGAUUGCUGUGGGAGAGCUGACAGUUUUUUCUUAUUACCAGUGAAAUAAUCUUUUCCUGCACCUUGAAAAUGAAUAAUUCUUUUUUCUUUAAAGGUUAUAUAUACAUAUAUAUCUAAUAUAGACAUAUAGGGAGAGAUGCAGCGAAUUGAAAACAUUUUAAAAAUAUUUAAAGUGUAGUGUUUACUCUUUUCUUUAGAGGAGCUCAACUGUUCUCUGCUUGGAUGCAAAUGAGGCACACACUACUUCCACUCUACGUAUUUUUGGUCAGAAUGAAAAGAUAAAUAGACAGUGUACGUCAAACAUCACACUUUCUGUCAGCUUAAUCUAACUUUGGUCAAAAAUUUAAAACUUUGCAGAGGCUGCUAGCACAUUUCAAGGCUGAACUGUAAUUCUCCUCUGACAAAAAUUUCUUGCUAACCGAGCCUGUCUGUGACAUGGGAACCAACCAGCUAAAGCUUAAACCAAGGCUGUCAAACUCAUUUCACUUAUUAGUUAUGAAAUGGGAAAAAACAGCAAGCUUCGGUGUCACAUGGAAACAUGAGCACGGUGGUGACACAGCCUUUCAUGCACAGUGUCAGCACUAAAAACAGCGUAUGGAUUAUUUGGGAGGUUAUAAACACCGAUCUCAUGAUUCUAUUCUGGGCUGGCCCUAUGACAAAAAAAGGGAAAAAAAAAUAACCAAACCAAAACAAUAACAACCACCAACAGCAGCAAAAAGCCCCAAGCAAUUAGCAGCUGUGCUCUGCAGCCCUUGUGCUGGUGACAAGCGGAGCUGGAAGAAAUGUGGCCCUGCUGAUCCUGCAGAGCUCAGGACCACGGCAGGGCCCCUCCGUCCCUGCUCCCCGCGGCUCGCUGUCGGGACGGGUGUGAGCCACGUGAGCCUGCUGCUUUGGGGACAGGAUGAUUUACACCUGACAACUGCUGGAGUCACCCCCCCAGCCGGCUGCCCUGCGCCUGCUGCACAGAGUGUGCUGCUCGCAGCUCCUGAAACACUGCACUUGGGAGCUGGCUUUUUUCUUCCCUUCUUAUUUUUAUUUUUGUAAGGCAAACGACCAUUGCUGGGUUAUCCGUGCUGGUUUGCCCUCACAGGGCACAGUUCACAGACUGCUUUGCAAAUCGGUGAGCCACCCAUGCAGCCCCUGCCAUCCCAGGAGAGGGCAUCCUGGCCCCGGGACAGUGCAUGUCCCCGUUUAGCCUCUUAGUCUGAGGCCAGGGCAGAUGUUCAGAAUGGCUCUUUCUAAUCUUCAGCUUGUCAAACCUUAUUAGUUGACUUUAUUAAGUCUAUCUCCAAACAUCUCUAAAGUAACGCGCGGUGUUGCUUUAUCCCAAAAUAGCUGCUUGGUAUGAGAUUUUGGCAGCUGGUGCUGAGGCUGGAUGAGACCCUGGAGAGCAGAGUCAAGAAGGCAGCCACAGCCCAACCUGCCCAUGCUUUCAACGUUCACAGCUCCCUCCCAGCCCCACAGGACCCCAAACCCUCCUGUACCCCAGGAACUCUGAGCAUCCCCGCUCCUCCGGCUAACCUGAGUUCAAAACUGGGCCCAGGCCAAAAUUCUGCUUACGAACAACUUCAGGCAUGGGAGAAGAUCUGAAUGUGGACCCAGACUGUACAACUGUGGGUGCUUUCCACCAGGAUACCGCCCUAAUUCCAGUUACAAUGGGCCUUUUCUCUGCUGUCAGAGAGAUGAGAUGUCUGUCAGAAAGAGGUACAGAGGCACUGGUAAUUAUUAAAAGCAUUUAUCAGUAAAUCCAGGACUGAAAGCAUAGUGAAGGGUGGGUGGCAAAUCUUUUGUGAGCCAUAAAAUUUCCAUGAGAGGAGAAUUUUUCAUUGGAAAAAGCUAAAGGAAAUCAUACUGUAUUUUAGGUGUGAUGUAAAUUCUUAUCAGUGCUGUUUUGACAUAGUUUUAACCUCUGUCUAAAGUACAACAAUUUAAAAGACAUCUGGUAACUGAUGAUUUUGCAAAGCUAGAAGUGCAUUGUACACAUUCAAAUGAGCUCAAAAAAA